AUUGAACGCUGGCGGCAUGCCUAAUACAUGCAAGUCGAACGGGGCAGCAAUGCCUAGUGGCGGACGGGUGAGGAAUACGAAGGAAUCUGCCCUUAAGUGGGGGAUAACCAGGGGAAACCCUGACUAAUACCGCAUGAUCUCUUCGGAGCAAAGAGAGGGACCGCCAGGCCUCUCGCUUCUGGAUGAGCCUACGUCUGAUAAGCUAGUUGGUAGGGUAAAGGCCUACCAAGGCGACGAUCGGUAACUGGUCGGAGAGGAUGAUCAGGCACACCGGAACUGAGACACGGUCCGGACUCCAACGGGAGGCAGCAGUGGGGAAUAUUGGACAAUGGGCGCAAGCCGGAUCCAGCAAUGCCGGGUGUGUGAAGAAGGCCUUCGGGUUGUAAAGCACUUUAGCCUGGAAAGAAAAAACUUUGGUUAACACCCAAAGUCUUGACGGUACCAGGAGAAUAAGCACCGGCUAACUCUGUGCCAGCAGCCGCCGUAAAAC
rnacentral:rRNA from 1 species